AAUGGGGGCAACCCUGAUCCAGCCAUGCCGCGUGAGUGAAGAAGGCCUUCGGGUUGUAAAGCUCUUUCAGACGGAAAGAAACGGUCACGGCGAAUACCCGUGACUAAUGACGGUACCGUAAGAAGAAGCACCGGCUAACUACGUGCCAGCAGCCGCGGUAAUACGUAGGGUGCGAGCGUUAAUCGGAAUUACUGGGCGUAAAGCGUGCGCAGGCGGUUUCGUAAGACAGAUGUGAAAUCCCCGGGCUUAACCUGGGAACUGCAUUUGUGACUGCGAGACUAGAGUGUAGCAGAGGGGGGUAGAAUUCCACGUGUAGCAGUGAAAUGCGUAGAGAUGUGGAGGAAUACCGAUGGCGAAGGCAGCCCCCUGGGCUAACACUGACGCUCAUGCACGAAAGCGUGGGGAGCAAA
rnacentral:rRNA from 1 species